rnacentral:rRNA from 1 species
GACGAACGCUGGCGGCGUGCUUAACACAUGCAAGUCGAACGGAAAGGCCCUGCUUUUGUGGGGUGCUCGAGUGGCGAACGGGUGAGUAACACUUGAGUAACCUGCCCUUGACUUUGGGAUAACUUCAGGAAACUGGGGCUAAUACCGGAUAGGAGCUCCUGCUGCAUGUUUGGGGUUGGAAAGUUUCGGCGGUUGGGGAUGGACUCGCGGCUUAUCAGCUUGUUGGUGGGGUAGUGGCUUACCAAGGCUUUGACGGGUAGCCGGCCUGAGAGGGUGACCGGCAACAUUGGGACUGAGAUACGGCCCAGACUCCUACGGGAGGCAGCAGUGGGGAAUAUUGCAAAAUGGGCGGAAGCCUGAUGCAGCAACGCCGCGUGCGGGAUGACGGCCUUCGGGUUGUAAACCGCUUUCGCCUGUGACGAAGCGUGAGUGACGGUAAUGGGUAAAGAAGCACCGGCUAACUACGUG